rnacentral:rRNA from 1 species
UACGUAGGGUCCAAGCGUUAUCCGGAAUCACUGGGCGUAAAGCGUGCGUAGACGGUUAUUUAAGUCGGGUGUGAAAGCCCCGGGCUCAACCUGGGAAUUGCAUUCGAGACUGAAUAGCUAGGGUACGGUAGAGGGAAGUGGAAUUUCCGGUGUAGCGGUGAAAUGCGUAGAUAUCGGAAGGAACAUCAGUGGCGAAAGCGACUUCCUGGACCAGUACCGACGUUCAGGCACGAAAGCGUGGGGAGCAAACAGG